UACGUAGGGGCUAGCGUUAUCCGGAAUUACUGGGCGUAAAGGGUGCGUAGGUGGUUUCUUAAGUCAGAGGUGAAAGGCUACGGCUCAACCGUAGUAAGCCUUUGAAACUGGGAAACUUGAGUGCAGGAGAGGAGAGUGGAAUUCCCGGUGUAGCGGUGAAAUGCGUAGAUAUUAGGAGGAACACCAGUGGCGAAGGCGACUUUCUGGCUCAUACCUGACGCUGAGGCGCGAAAGCGUGGGGAGCAAACAGGAUUAGAUACCCGCGUAGUCCCUGAGCGGG
rnacentral:rRNA from 1 species